rnacentral:rRNA from 1 species
GGGCGGCGUGCUUACCAUGCAGUCGAACGGUGAAGCCAAGCUUGCUUGGUGGAUCAGUGGCGAACGGGUGAGUAACACGUGAGCAACCUGCCCUGAACUCUGGGAUAAGCGCUGGAAACGGCGUCUAAUACUGGAUAUGAGCUGCGGAGGCAUCUUCGUGGUUGGAAAGAUUUUUCGGUUUGGGAUGGGCUCGCGGCCUAUCAGCUUGUUGGUGAGGUAAUGGCUCACCAAGGCGUCGACGGGUAGCCGGCCUGAGAGGGUGACCGGCCACACUGGGACUGAGACACGGCCCAGACUCCUACGGGAGGCAGCAGUGGGGAAUAUUGCACAAUGGGCGGAAGCCUGAUGCAGCAACGCCGCGUGAGGGAUGACGGCCUUCGGGUUGUAAACCUCUUUUAGCAGGGAAGAAGCGAAAGUGACGGUACCUGCAGAAAAAGCGCCGGCUAACUACGUGCCAGCAGCCGCGGUAAUACGUAGGGCGCAAGCGUUAUCCGGAAUUAUUGGGCGUAAAGAGCUCGUAGGCGGUUUGUCGCGUCUGCUGUGAAAUCUGGGGGCUCAACCCCCAGCCUGCAGUGGGUACGGGCAGACUAGAGUGCGGUAGGGGAGAUUGGAAUUCCUGGUGUAGCGGUGGAAUGCGCAGAUAUCAGGAGGAACACCGAUGGCGAAGGCAGAUCUCUGGGCCGUAACUGACGCUGAGGAGCGAAAGGGUGGGGAGCAAACAGGCUUAGAUACCCUGGUAGUCCACCCCGUAAACGUUGGGAACUAGUUGUGGGGUCCAUUCCACGGAUUCCGUGACGCAGCUAACGCAUUAAGUUCCCCGCCUGGGGAGUACGGCCGCAAGGCUAAAACUCAAAGGAAUUGACGGGGACCCGCACAAGCGGCGGAGCAUGCGGAUUAAUUCGAUGCAACGCGAAGAACCUUACCAAGGCUUGACAUACACGAGAACGCUGCAGAAAUGUAGAACUCUUUGGACACUCGUGAACAGGUGGUGCAUGGUUGUCGUCAGCUCGUGUCGUGAGAUGUUGGGUUAAGUCCCGCAACGAGCGCAACCCUCGUUCUAUGUUGCCAGCACGUAAUGGUGGGAACUCAUGGGAUACUGCCGGGGUCAACUCGGAGGAAGGUGGGGAUGACGUCAAAUCAUCAUGCCCCUUAUGUCUUGGGCUUCACGCAUGCUACAAUGGCCGGUACAAAGGGCUGCAAUACCGCGAGGUGGAGCGAAUCCCAAAAAGCCGGUCCCAGUUCGGAUUGAGGUCUGCAACUCGACCUCAUGAAGUCGGAGUCGCUAGUAAUCGCAGAUCAGCAACGCUGCGGUGAAUACGUUCCCGGGUCUUGUACACACCGCCCGUCAAGUCAUGAAAGUCGGCUAACACCUGAAGCCGGUGGCCCAACCCUUGUGGAGGAGCCGUCGAAGUGAUC